rnacentral:rRNA from 1 species
AUUGAACGCUGGCGGCAUGCUUUACACAUGCAAGUCGAACGGUAACAGGCCGCAAGGUGCUGACGAGUGGCGAACGGGUGAGUAAUGCAUCGGAACGUGCCCAGUCGUGGGGGAUAACUACUCGAAAGAGUAGCUAAUACCGCAUACGAUCUAUGGAUGAAAGCGGGGGACCGUAAGGCCUCGCGCGAUUGGAGCGGCAGAUGUCAGAUUAGGUAGUUGGUGGGGUAAAGGCUCACCAAGCCAACGAUCUGUAGCUGGUCUGAGAGGACGACCAGCCACACUGGGACUGGGACACGGCCCAGACUCCUACGGGAGGCAGCAGUGGGGAAUUUUGGACAAUGGGCGCAAGCCUGAUCCAGCAAUGCCGCGUGCAGGAAGAAGGCCUUCGGGUUGUAAACUGCUUUUGUACGGAACGAAACGGCUCUGGUUAAUACCCGGGGCUAAUGACGGUACCGUAAGAAUAAGCACCGGCUAACUACGUG